rnacentral:rRNA from 1 species
GACGAACGCUGGCGGCGUGCCUAAUACAUGCAAGUUGAGCGAUGAAGAUUGGUUCUUGCACCAAUUUGAAGAGCAGCGAACGGGUGAGUAACGCGUGGGGAAUCUGCCUUUUAGCGGGGGACAACAUUUGGAAACGAAUGCUAAUACCGCAUAACAACUUUAAACAUAAGUUUUAAGUUUGAAAGAUGCAAUUGCAUCACUCAAAGAUGAUCCCGCGUUGUAUUAGCUAGUUGGUGAGGUAAAGGCUCACCAAGGCGAUGAUACAUAGCCGACCUGAGAGGGUGAACGGCAAAAUUGGGAAUGAGAAAAGGCCCAAAAGGCUAAGGGAGGCAGCAGUAGGGAAUCUUCGGCAAUGGACGAAAGUCUGACCGAGAAACGCCGCGUGAGUGAAGAAGGUUUUCGGAUCGUAAAACUCUGUUGGUAGAGAAGAACGUUGGUGAGAGUGGAAAGCUCAUAAAGUGACGGUAACUACCAUGAAAGGGACGGCUAACUACGUG